rnacentral:rRNA from 1 species
CGACGGAACUAUUUUAUGAAAUACCUUUCGGGGUGUGGAUGAGAUAAUUUAGUGGCGGACGGGUGAGUAACGCGUGAGCAACCUGGCCUUUGGAGAGGGACAACAGCUGGAAACGGCUGCUAAUACCGCAUAACGUAUAUCUGCGGCAUCGCAGAUAUACCAAAGAUUUAUCGCCAAAGGAUGGGCUCGCGUCUGAUUAGCUAGUUGGUGGGGUAAUGGCUCACCAAGGCUGCGAUCAGUAGCCGGACUGAGAGGUUGAUCGGCCACAUUGGGACUGAGAUACGGCCCAGACUCCUACGGGAGGCAGCAGUAAGGAAUAUUGGGCAAUGGGGGCAACCCUGACCCAGCAACGCCGCGUGAAGGAAGAAGGCAUUCGUGUUGUAAACUUCUUUGACGAGGGACGAAAUAAAUGACGGUACCUCGAAAACAAGCCACGGCUAACUACGUGCCAGCAGCCGCGGUAAUACGUAGGUGGCAAGCGUUGUCCGGAUUUACUGGGUGUAAAGGGCGUGUAGGC